rnacentral:rRNA from 1 species
GACGGAGGAUGCAAGUGUUAUCCGGAAUCACUGGGCGUAAAGCGUCUGUAGGUGGUUCGAAAAGUCCACUGUUAAAGAUUGAGGCCUAACUUCAAAAUGCCGUGGAACUUUCAAACUAGAGUAUGGUAGGGUAGAGGGAAUUCCAGUGGAGCGGUGAAUGCGUAGAGAUCCGGAGGAAGACCGGUGGCGAAGGCGGCCUGC